UGGUUUGCCAAGAGCUCACCAGAUGGAAUCAUAAACAUUAUUGUGGACGCAGCAUAAGUGGCUCGUGUCUGAAUCACAUGCGCGAUAGAAUGCAGUCGUAAUGUCGCGAAAAAUCAGUUCUCCCGAUAAUUCGCCCUUAAUUCCAUAUUCACUUGGUAAACUUCUCAUAUGAGUCAUUAAUAAUAAUUAAGAUAAUUCGACAGACAGAAUAAAUAAUGGCGUAACGUUGAGAAAUCAUUAUCAAAGUAUAAAAUGUGUUUAUACAUAAUUUCAAAAUUAAAAUACAUACUGUUAAAAAUAAACGUGGAACUGGGGAGAAAGGAUUGAGAAAGAAAGUGAAAACAGAAAACUUACCAGCGAGAGAUAUGUCCCCUGAAAGGAUGUUCCCUGGUCUUACGAGAGGAAAAGGAUAAAGUCAGGUUGUUGGCGGCAGCAAGCCGCGGGCACAGGACUGCGGUCAGCCAAACCACCUGUAACAGAGAAGAAAAAAUUCUAAUUUAUUGUCGAUUUAAUGGAAAUAUUCAGUGAAAAUAUUUUAAACUUAUUUACAGACAAAAUAUUUGCAUUUACUUUUGAUUUGUUUGAAUUCGUUAUAUAAAUUGUUGCUUAUUUUAAUUUCAUUACACUAUCAAAGAUUUAAAACGAUACGAUUGUCUCUCAAAUUUAUUCUUAUAAUUCUAUCAAACUAUUUAUUUAUGCUAUAAAUUAUCAAUCAACCUAUAAAUCAAGAAAGAAAGCAACUAAGCUCUUUCUCUUGUACCACUGAUAAAAUUGAAUUAAACAGUUUAAUACGCAUAACAAAUCAAGUACAGAUUCGGCUUCUAAUUCCUCGUGAUAAGAUGUAUAUAUGUAUAUUCAUAUAUUUCGCAAUUAAACCGAAAGUCACGGCGAAAAGAGAAAGAGAGAAAAGAAGGGCGAAUGGAGCAAAGCUGAAUGCCGAGAGGCCUGUUUUGCAUAAAAAUUAUAAGUCGAAUUAAUGUUUUCACCUCCGUGGCUCGUGUGCACCGCAUUUCGUGUCCGAUGCGUGACUAACACAGUGGUUUAUUGCAUGUUAAUACGAAUCCGGUACCACCAGUAUUUUCUCAUGAAAUAAUCUUGACUCACCCUUAUAAGCAAAAUAUGUAUAUUGAAAGAAGGAAGGAUUCUACGAAAUUUGAUUAAAAAUAAAGAAGAAUUUUAAUAAAUAAUUUUCAAUAAUG